AGUGAACGCUGGCGGUAGGCCUAACACAUGCAAGUCGAACGGCAGCACAGGAGAGCUUGCUCUCUGGGUGGCGAGUGGCGGACGGGUGAGGAAUACAUCGGAAUCUACUCUGUCGUGGGGGAUAACGUAGGGAAACUUACGCUGAUACCGCAUACGACCUACGGGUGAAAGCAGGGGACCUUCGGGCCUUGCGCGAUUGAAUGAGCCGAUGUCGGAUUAGCUAGUUGGCGUGGUAAAGGCCCACCAAGGCGACGAUCCGUAGCUGGUCUGAGAGGAUGAGCAGCCACAGUGGAACUGAGACACGGUCCAGACUCCUACGGGAGGCAGCAGUGGGGAAUAUUGGACAAUGGGCGCAAGCCUGAUCCAGCCAUACCGCGUGGGUGAAGAAGGCUUUCGGGUUGUAAAGCCCUUUUGUUGGGAAAGAAAUCCAGCUGGCUAAUACCCGGUUGGGAUGACGGUACCCAAAGAAUAAGCACCGGCUAACUUCGUGCCAGCCGCCGCCGUAA
rnacentral:rRNA from 1 species